rnacentral:rRNA from 1 species
UACGUCGGGUGCAAGCGUUAAUCGGAAUUACUGGGCGUCAAGCGAGCGCAGGCGGUUUUGUACGUCAGAUGUGAAAUCCCAGGGCUUAACCUUGGAACUGCAUUUGUGACUGCAUGGCUAGAGUGUGUCAGAGGGGGGUGGAACUCCACGUGUAGCAGUGAAAUGCGUAGAUAUCGAGAGGAACACCUGCGGCGAAGGCGGGUUGCUGGGCUGAUACUGACGCUGAGGCGCGAAAGCCAGGGGAGCGAACGGG